AGCAGCCGCGGUAAUUCCAGCUCCAAUAGCGUAUAUUAAAGUUGUUGCAGUUAAAAAGCUCGUAGUUGAAUUUCGGGAUUGACGUGAUGGUCAUGCCUUAAGGGGUAUGAACUGUUACAGUUGAUUUCUCACCUUCUGGAGAAACUUGAUGUCCUUUAUUGGGUGUCUUGCGGAUCCAGGACCUUUACCUUGAAAAAAUUAGAGUGUUUAAAGCAGGCAUUUUUGCUCGAAUACAUUAGCAUGGAAUAAUAGAAUAGGACGGCAUGGUUCUAUUUUGUUGGUUUCUAGGAUCACCGUAAUGAUUAAUAGGGAUAGUUGGGGGCAUUAGUAUUCAAUUGUCAGAGGUGAAAUUCUUGGAUUUAUUGAAGACUAACUACUGCGAAAGCAUUUGCCAAGGAUAGUUUUCAUUAAUCAAGAACGAAAGUUAGGGGAUCGAAGACGAUCAGAUACCGUCGUAGUCUUAACCAUAAACUAUGCCGACUAGGAAUCAGACGAUGUUAAUUUUUAAUGACUCGUUUGG
rnacentral:rRNA from 1 species